UACGUAGGGUCCGAGCGUUGUCCGGAAUUAUUGGGCGUAAAGGGCUCGUAGGCGGUCUGUUGCGUCGGGGAGUGAAAAACUUACAGCUUAACUGUGAGCGUGCUUUCGAUACGGGCAGACUUGAGGCAUUCAGGGGAGAACGGAAUUCCUGGUGUAGCGGUGAAAUGCGCAGAGAUCGGAAAGAACACCAACGGCGAAAGCACUCCGCUGGGCCGACACUGACACUGAGAGACGAAAGCUAGGGAAGCGAAUGGG
rnacentral:rRNA from 1 species